rnacentral:rRNA from 1 species
UACGAAGGGGGGCUAGCGUUGUUCGGAUUAACUGGGCGUAAAGGGUGCGUAGGCGGGUUUUUAAGUCAGGGGUGAAAUCCCGAGGCUCAACCUCGGAACUGCCUUUGAUACUGGAAAUCUUGAGUCUGGGAGAGGUGAGUGGAACUGCGAGUGUAGAGGUGAAAUUCGUAGAUAUUCGCAAGAACACCAGUGGCGAAGGCGGCCAACUGGUCCGGAACGU